rnacentral:lncRNA from 1 species
AGUCCUACAGAGAGACACACCUCUUGCUUGUUCAGGUUCCAGAUUCUGAAUUCGACCUUCUCUUAACUCCGCAGAAUGCAGUUGAGAUGCAUAGAAAAAGUCUGGGACUACUUACACCUAUUUGCUAGCAUGUCUUUGAAGAAUGUUACUAGAGAGAAGCAGGUACAACCUUGUGAUUAUUAUGCUUUGAACUUGAUGCUGUGCUGAACACAUAAAAAGAGCCCUCAUGAUGAGAGAUUGGAAGGAGAAUGAAAGAAAGGAAGCAAGAUCAUCCAGAGAACCAUGAAGUAGUGACCUUCAGUGACCUUCAGUGAUGAGGUGAAAAGUGUCCGGACAGGAUGAGACCUGUAUACUUGUAAUUUUUUCUAGAAAUAUCUGGAAAACAAAGCAAGAGAAGUAGAAGUAUUUGUAGCUUUUACUGGAGAAGAUUUUUGUAUUUUUCUAAGUAGAUAUGUUAGUUGCCCAUGUUAGUAAAAUUUUAAAAUGUUUUAAAAGUCUUAAACAUUUUUAUCUCUAGUGUACAUUGUUGUUGAUUUUUACACAGAGUUUUGGGUAAAUUUUGAACAUUUUUUAAAAUAGAAAAAGAUGACAUUCUUAAGAAAAAAAAGCACUACUAACUCCUUAUUUUACAUCCCCCCAUCCCCUAGGUCUGGCAUUCAUCAGCAUUCACACAUCUGCAGAAGGGGUAUGAGGGAGAAAUGACUUCAUUAAUUAUUGUGUCACCAAGUUUUUCUUCUCUUGAUUCCUAAGAAGAAGAAACAGAGAUUACAUGUGUUUACUUAAGGGUAAGCACUAACUGAAUGCUUACUGAGUGGCUAGAUGAAUAUCUAAAAAAAAAAAUGGUUUCUGUAGGCGUUGGAUUCUGCUCAAUGCUUAUGCCCACCCAGAAUGCUCUAUAAAACCUUCACUGUUGUUCUCAGGAUCAGCCUUCCUGAAUUCAUCCUAUAAACUUUUAAUGAGUGACCUGUUUGUAAAACUCCCUUCCAGAUUGGCAAAUACAAGUUGAUAGAGAA